AUGCAAGUCGAGCGAAGCUUUUCAGUAGUUUACUACAGAAAAUGACUGAGCGGCGAACGGGUGAGUAACGCGUGAGCAAUCUACCUUAGUUACAGGGAUAGCCCGAGGAAACUCGGAUUAAUACCUGAUAUUCUUUACAUUUCGCAUGAAAUUAAAAGGAAAGGUCAGCCGAACUAAGAUGAGCUCGCGUUCUAUCAGCUAGUUGGUGAGGUAAAAGCUCACCAAGGCUACGACGGAUAGCUGGUCUGAGAGGACGAUCAGCCACACUGGGACUGAGACACGGCCCAGACUCCUACGGGAGGCUGCAGCAGGGAAUAUUGUGCAAUGAACGAAAGUUUGACACAGCGACACCGCGUGUGGGAUGACGGAUCUAGGUUUGUAAACCACUUUCAGGAGGGAAGAAAAUGACGGUACCUCCACAAGAAGCCCCGGCCAACUACGUGCCAGCAGCCGCGGUAAUACGUAGGGGGCGAGCGUUGUCCGGAUUUAUUGGGCGUAAAGAGCUCGUAGGCGGUUCAACAAGUCGGUCGUAAAAGUUCAGGGCUCAACCCUGAAAUGUCGAUCGAUACUGUUGUGACUAGGAUACGGUGAAGGUGAGUGGAAUUCCGAGUGUAGCGGUGAAUGCGUAGAUAUUCGGAGGAACACCAAUUGCAAGGCAGCUCACUGGGCCGCUAUCGACGCUGAGAACGAAGCUAGGGAGCAACCGGAUUAGAUACCCUGGUAGUCUAGCUGUAACGAUGGAUACUAGCGUAGGAACUGGAUGACGGUUCUGGUCGUACUAACGCGUUAGUAUCCGCCUGGGGAUACGUCGCAGACUAACUCAAGGAAUUGACGGACCCGCACAAGCGCGGACCAUGCGCUAAUCGAUGAUCCGUAAACCUUACUGGACUUGACAUUACGUCAGCUAUAAGAUUAGUGGCAUACGCCUUAACA
rnacentral:rRNA from 1 species